UACGUAGGGUGCAAGCGUUAAUCGGAAUUACUGGGCGUAAAGCGUGCGCAGGCGGUUGUUUAAGGCCGGUGUGAAAUCCCCGGGCUUAACCUGGGAAUGGCAUUGGUGACUGUACGGCUAGAGUGUGUCAGAGGGGGGUAGAAUUCCACGUGUAGCAGUGAAAUGCGUAGAGAUGUGGAGGAAUACCGAUGGCGAAGGCAGCCCCCUGGGAUAACACUGACGCUCAUGCACGAAAGCGUGGGGAGCAAACAGG
rnacentral:rRNA from 1 species